GUUGAAAGGCGGCUUCGGCUGUCACUGAUGGAUGGGCCUGCGGCGCAUUAGCUAGUUGGUGGGGUAAGGGCCCACCAAGGCGACGAUGCGUAGCCGACCUGAGAGGGUGAUCGGCCACACUGGGACUGAGACACGGCCCAGACUCCUACGGGAGGCAGCAGUAGGGAAUCUUCCGCAAUGGACGCAAGUCUGACGGAGCAACGCCGCGUGAGUGAAGAAGGGUUUCGGCUCGUAAAACUCUGUUGUCAGGGAAGAACGUCCCCGUGAGUAACUGCACGGGGAGUGACGGUACCUGACCAGAAAGCCACGGCUAACUACGUGCCAGCAGCCGCGGUAAUACGUAGGUGGCAAGCGUUAUCCGGAAUUAUUGGGCGUAAAGCGCGCGUAGGCGGUCUGUUAAGUCUGAUGUGAAAGCCCCCGGCUCAACCGGGGAGGGUCAUUGGAAACUGGCAGACUUGAGUGCAGAAGAGGAGAGUGGAAUUCCAUGUGUAGCGGUGAAAUGCGCAGAGAUAUGGAGGAACACCAGUGGCGAAGGCGGCUCUCUGGUCUGCAACUGACGCUGAGGUGCGAAAGCGUGGGGAUCAAACAGGAUUAGAUACCCUGGUAGUCCACGCCGUAAACGAUGAGUGCUAAGUGUUAGGGGGUUUCCGCCCCUUAGU
rnacentral:rRNA from 1 species